CCUAUCAGCUUGUUGGUGAGGUAAUGGCUCACCAAGGCAUUUGACGGGUAGCUGGUCUGAGAGGAUGGUCAGCCACACUGGGACUGAGACACUGCCCAGACUUCUACGGGAGGCUGCAGUCGAGAAUCUUUCGCAAUGGGGGAAACCCUGACGAAGCGACGCCGCGUGGGCGGUGAAGGCCUUCGGGUUGUAAAGCCCUGUCACGAGGGACGAAUGCACAAUGGCGAAUAGCCUGCGUGUUUGACAGUACCUCGAGAGGAAGCCACGGCUAACUCCGUGCCAGCAGCCGCGGUAAUACGGAGGUGGCAAGCGUUGUUCGGAUUUAUUGGGUGUAAAGGGCAUGUAGGCGGCCUUUUAAGUCGAUUGUGAAAGCCCCCGGCUUAACCGGGGAAUUGCGAUCGAUACUGAGAGGCUUGAGUACAGAAGAGGAGAACGGAAUUCCCGGUGUAAGGGUGAAAUCUGUAGAGAUCGGGAGGAACACCAGUGGCGAAGGCGGUUCUCUGGUCUGUUACUGACGCUGAAAUGCGAAAGCUAGGGGAGCAAACAGGAUUAGAUACCCUGGUAGUCCUAGCCGUAAACGAUGGGCACUAGGUGCCGGGUAGCAAUAUUCGGUGCCGCAGUUAACACAUUAAGUGCCCCACCUGGGGA
rnacentral:rRNA from 1 species